rnacentral:rRNA from 1 species
CAUGGGCGGGUGCAUAGGCAUGCAAGUCGAGCGAGAACCCCGCAAGGGGGGACAGCGGCAAACGGGGUAGUAACGGGUAGGUGACGUACCCUCGGGACGGGGAUAGCCACGGGAAACUGUGGGUAAUACCCGAUAAUCUCCGGGAGCGUGAAGCUUCGGGAGCAAAGGUGUGAUUCCACCGGAGGAGCGGCCUGCCUCGUAUUAGCUUGUUGGUAGGGUAACGGCCUACCAAGGCAACGAUGCGUAGGGGGUGUGAGAGCAUGACCCCCACCACUGGGACUGAGAUACUGCCCAGACACCUACGGGUGGCUGCAGUCGAGAAUCUUCGGCAAUGGGCGCAAGCCUGACCGAGCGACGCCGCGUGUGGGAUGAAGGCCCUUGGGUUGUAAACCACUGUCAGAGGGGAUGAAGUGCACGGGAGCAAUCUCUCGUGUUUGACAUAGCCUCAGAGGAAGCACGGGCUAAGUUCGUGCCAGCAGCCGCGGUAAUACGAACUGUGCGAACGUUAUUCGGAAUCACUGGGCUUACAGGGUGCGUAGGCGGCCUGUCAAGUAGGGUGUGAAAGCCCCCGGCUCAACCGGGGAAUGGCGCCCUAAACUGGCGGGCUGGAGUGAGAUAGGGGUGUGCGGAACUUCCGGUGGAGCGGUGAAAUGUGUUGAUAUCGGAAGGAACGCCGGUGGCGAAAGCGGCACACUGGAUCUCAACUGACGCUGAGGCACGAAAGCCAGGGGAGCGAACGGGAUUAGAUACCCCCGGUAGUCCUGGCUGUAAAC